AUUGUGAAACUCCUCGAAAGUGGUAGAAGAUUCUCGUGAGUAAGAGCCAACAGUAUAUGAAUAUACGUAAACGCUUAAAUGUAGUUCAGUAUUGUUACCGAAAACUGAAAUUUCUAGAACGCCUCCACACGCCUAUAAAUAUAACUAACGCGACGCGUCGAAAACGAGAAUAUCUAUUGUUAGUGUGCAGUUAACUUUGGAAGCCAUAAUUGUGAUUGUUAUAAUACUUAUUAACCGGAAAACUUCAGAUAUUUGACCAGGAACCUUUACAAAGUUCGAACAUUACAAAUCGUUUAACUUCAGCGGAUUCUUAUCAGACAUUAGUAUUUUUACGAAAACAUUAUAUAAAUUCAUCGUAGAAAACUUUGCGUGUGUGGCCGAUAGAUAGCAAAGGACAAAGCUAGCUUGCUUCGCGUUAAGCGAAUUGUACCUACAAAUUAUUAUUAACUCACUCAAUAAGAUAUGGAAGAUGUACCAGACUAGAAAGAAAACUUUAUAUUGCUUGCAACACCACAGCAGGAAAGGUUCUGAUAAUGAUAGCGAGGUGUCAAAAUCUUCCAGAGGGUCUAAAUCCUCAAAGUCAUCAAGAAAUUGUAUGAGUAGUGGGAAACAUUGAUGCAUGCAGUGGCAGUGAAUCAGAAGGCCAGAGAAAGCACAAAAAGCAUUGAAGACACAAGUGAGUUUUGAAAUAUAUAUUUAUCUGAAAUUCAUUAGAAUUUAAUACUGUAUUUCAUUAAAUUUAAUGAGAUGUACACUACUGCCUUUACAAGUUUAAUAAUUAUAAUUAUCAACUUGAUUUCGAGUUAUUUAAAACAAAAAGGGUAUUUGUAAAAAUAUAAAUUAUAAAAAGUAUUUAACAUGCAUACUGAGCCAUUUGUGUAUUAACCUAAAUUACGACUUACAGAUAAUCAAAUUAUUUGCUUUCAAAAGAAAAGUUAAUAAUUUCAGAAAUGUAAUAAAAAACUAGAAUACAAAUAAUAUUAUUGGAAGUUAGAUAAAACUAUGUAUGUUAUAAUACAAAAUUAAUCUUAAUUAUUUUACUUUGAGCUGGUUAAGACAAAAUUAGGAAGUUUAAAAAAUGAUAAGGCUCGUGGGCCAGAUAAUAACAAGGUUUUUUUUCAGUUAUCAUUGAAAUUUCACCUUUUCCAUAAAGUUUUUGUAAUCUUUAUAAUGAUAAAAAAUAAAUAUCGAAAAUAAAAUAGCCAUUGUGAUUUUUAUAUCUAUUUUGAU